rnacentral:rRNA from 1 species
GUGGGGGAUAUUGCACAAUGGAGGAAACUCUGAUGCAGCGACGCCGCGUGAGGGAAGAAGGUUUUCGGAUUGUAAACCUCUGUCUUCGGGGACGAAACAAAUGACGGUACCCGAGGAGGAAGCCACGGCUAACUACGUGCCAGCAGCCGCGGUAAAACGUAGGUGGCAAGCGUUGUCCGGAAUUACUGGGUGUAAAGGGAGCGCAGGCGGGAUGGCAAGUUGAAUGUGAAAACUGGGGGCUCAACCCCCAGACUGCGUUCAAAACUGCUGUUCUUGAGUGAUGGAGAGGCAGGCGGAAUUCCCGGUGUAGCGGUGGAAUGCGUAGAUAUCGGGAGGAACACCAGUGGCGAAGGCGGCCUGCUGGACAUUAACUGACGCUGAGGCUCGAAAGUGUGGGGAGCAAACAGGAUUAGAAACCCGAGUAGUCC